UAGGGAAUCUUCACAAUGGGCGAAAGCCUGAUGGAGCAACGCCGCGUGUGUGAUGAAGGGUUUCGGCUCGUAAAACACUGUUGUAAGAGAAGAAUGACAUUGAGAGUAACUGUUCAAUGUGUGACGGUAUCUUACCAGAAAGGAACGGCUAAAUACGUGCCAG
rnacentral:rRNA from 1 species